CAGCAGCCGCGGUAAUACGUAGGGUGCGAGCGUUGUCCGGAUUUAUUGGGCGUAAAGGGCUCGUAGGUGGUUGAUCGCGUCGGAAGUGUAAUCUUGGGGCUUAACCCUGAGCGUGCUUUCGAUACGGGUUGACUUGAAGAAGGUAGGGGAGAAUGGAAUUCCUGGUGGAGCGGUGGAAUGCGCAGAUAUCAGGAGGAACACCAGUGGCGAAGGCGGUUCUCUGGGCCUUUCCUGACGCUGAGGAGCGAAAGCGUGGGGAGCGAACAGGCUUAGAUACCCUGGUAGUCCACGCUGUAAACGGUGGGUACUAGGUGUGGGGUCCAUUCCACGGGUUCCGUGCCGUAGCUAACGCUUUAAGUACCCCGCCUGGGGAGUACGGCCGCAAGGCUAAAACUCAAAUAAAUUGACGG
rnacentral:rRNA from 1 species